rnacentral:rRNA from 1 species
UACGUAGGGGGCAAGCGUUGUCCGGAUUUAUUGGGCGUAAAGAGCGUGUAGGCGGCCAAGUAGGUCCGGUGUGAAAACUCGAGGCUUAACCUCGAGAUGUCAUCGGAAACCAUUUGGCUAGAGUCCGGAAGAGGAAAGUGGAAUUCCUGGUGUAGCGGUGAAAUGCGUAGAUAUCCGGAGGAACACCAGGGGCGAAAGCGGCCGACUGGUCGAGUACUGACGCUGAGGCGCGACGGCGUGGGGAGCAAACCGG